CCAGAUUGAGUUACUACAUAAUACCCAAUUACUAACUGGCAUAACUCAGCGGUGAUGCAAAAAAAUAAAAACGUUCAACUGGCGAAACCAUACAAACCUCAAUGCAUUUUUAAAAACACCCAUGUUUUUGUUGUAAAUGCUAUGAGUAGUAAGACUGGGGAUAUUCUCUAGGUGAGUAGUUCAGUAAAUGUAACCUUUCAGCAACACAGCGCUGAUAGUGAAAUAAAAUAUGGAAAUAUAUGUAAGGAAAAUAUGGACU